AGAAGAAGCAUUGAAAGAAUAAAAUGACAAAAAACGUGUCAACUGGUUGAGGAGUUUCCGAUUUCAUGCACAUAAGGAACAGCGCUUGUUGGGCAAAUAUAUUCAAAUUCAAGUUCUCACGCGUAAACUUUGAAAACGCAAUAUAAGGAGAAGAAAUUCGGUCGGCGUAAAAAAAAAACAAGUUUAGAAUGUCGCGAGGUGACGCGGAAGGCAAUAUAUAUCACCCUCCGGCGAAUUCCGAAAUCAUUAUUAUUAUUGUUGUUGUCACUUGUUUCGGGCAUUUCGUUUUUUUUUUCCCUCUCAGAAUUUCUUUUCGCGUGUACGUACCCGAUGCGCACGGAUGUGCAAAAAUUUUUACGGCGAGAUACAAUUUUUCGUUUAUUCAAGGAGAAAUCCGCGCGAGACUCUGUACCGCAACGUCUCGUUCCCCGAGAGUGCUGACAAGCGUACGUACAUACAUACACCGGUAGGCAGAGCAAAUAUGACAAAUAUGAAAUCUUCCCCCUCGUUCACCGCGUUAAUUUUGAAAAAAUUCGACUCCCUACAUUUCAUAUUUAUUCACGGGGGAUGAAAACAAGAUUUCCUUUUAUUCUUUCUUCUUCGUUUUCAACCAAACCGCGCGAAGCGAUUCGACUAACCGCAGCUGUAGGUAUCUAUGAUUGUAGAUUCACACGUAUACAACAUGUAUCAUGCUAUCGAAAUCGCGCGUACAAUAAUUUUCGCGAUACAGUUAGGUAAGCGUGCAUCUGUGUUGUUAUCAUUAAUUAUACCUCGCAGAGUAGGAUAAUUAGCGAAAAGUUCGCGUAACGCUGCAGUUAUUGGAGUUUCGAGCGCAGACGUUGAAGAAAAAGUAAAUUCGACUAAAAAUAAAAUCGAUCGUCGCCAGCGCGGUAUUCUGCGCAAACAAUAAUUCGAAGUGAAUGUACGAAAAAAGAGGUAAGAAUAAAAAGAAGAAGAAAAAAAAAAAAAAACACUUCUCAAAGAUAAGACCAUAUCAUUAGCGAGAGGCGAAAACCAGUGGUGCAGCGAUUGACUAGCGGUGGCGAUAAAAAUGCGGUAGAAAAAAAAUAAAAUAAAAAUAAUAAUAAAAAUAACGAGAAGGAGCGAAAAUGAGAGACCGUGCGCGUUUGGAAGGUGCAAGAUGCAGGUGUACGCUAUACGCGCGGUGUUACACACCCAGAGGUGUGUAAUAUAAUUUUCAUAGAAGAUGAAAUUGCGCGGGGUAUGUGCGAAAUAGAAAUAGGGUAUACCUACGGCUAACACGCCGCAGAGGUGUUAGGUGCUAAUUGUUCAAUUAUCGUCGGUUUCAUGCUUCGCGAGACCUCAAGGUAUGAAAAUCAUGAUUUUCGUGUACGGCGCGCACACUCGGCUACGGAUUCGCGUGUGUGUGUGUGUGUGUGUGUGCGUGCGUGGGUAAGUAAACGUGCACGUACACCGCGUACACAGUAUACGUACGCGCACGUUGCCAAUUAUAUAUCAUCCGUCCAGCAUAGAUGUGAUACGCCCGCGUAUUUUGCAGAGACUAACGCGCGAAAACGUUGUGUGCCCAGAAGCAUAGACGCGUACGCCCAAAUUCACUUUAAUUACAAAACCAAUCUGGUCUAGGCCAGAGCGAUCUCGGAGAACGACGUUAUAUCGCGCGGACGCCGCAUUCCUAAAAUUACAUAAGAUACGCCACGCGGAUGAAAAGAAAUGAGGCGAUACAGAUGGAAUGUGAUAGCGUUGCAGUAAACGAGAUGAAGAGAAAAAGACGGU